rnacentral:tRNA from 1 species
UCCUAUGUGGCUCUGUUAGUAGAGCAUGGUGCUUGCAAUGCCAGAGCUGUGGGUUUGAUUCCCAUGGGGGGAC